AAAAAGUCGUAACAAGGUCUCCGUAGGUGAACCUGCGGAGGGAUCAUUACACAAUAUGAAAGCGGGCUGGCAUCCUUCGGGGUUACAGCCUUGCUGAAUUAUUCACCCGUGUCUUUUGCGUACUUCUUGUUUCCUUGGUGGGUUCGCCCACCAUAGGACAAACCAUAAACCUUUUGUAAUUGCAAUCAGCGUCAGUAAAAAAAUUAAUAAUUACAACUUUUAACAACGGAUCUCUUGGUUCUGGCAUCGAUGAAGAACGCAGCGAAAUGCGAUAAGUAGUGUGAAUUGCAGAAUUCAGUGAAUCAUCGAAUCUUUGAACGCACAUUGCGCCCUUUGGUAUUCCAAAGGGCAUGCCUGUUCGAGCGUCAUUUGUACCCUCAAGCUUUGCUUGGUGUUGGGCGUCUUGUCUCCAGUUCGCUGGAGACUCGCCUUAAAGUAAUUGGCAGCCGGCCUACUGGUUUCGGAGCGCAGCACAAGUCGCGCUCUCUUCCAGCCAAGGUCAGCAUCCACAAAGCCUUUUUUCAACUUUUGACCUCGGAUCAGGUAGGGAUACCCGCUGAACUUAAGCAUAUC
rnacentral:rRNA from 1 species